GCGGGAAUAGCUCAGUUGGUAGAGCACGACCUUGCCAAGGUCGGGG
rnacentral:tRNA from 2 species